rnacentral:rRNA from 1 species
UCUCUGGNCAGUAACUGACGCUGAGGAGCGAAAGCAUGGGGAGCGAACAGGAUUAGAUACCCUGGUAGUCCAUGCUGUAACCGGUGGGCGUCAGGUGUGGGGACCGGUUUGGUUUCUGUGCCGUAGCUAACGCAUUAAGCGCCCCGCCUGGGGAGUACGGCCGCAAGGCUAAAACUCAAAGGAAUUGACGGGGGCCCGCACAAGCGGCGGAGCAUGUGGAUUAAUUCGAUGCAACGCGAAGAACCUUACCUGGGUUUGACAUGCAUCAGACGGUUGUAGAGAUACGUACCUCCCUUUGUGGUUGGUGUGCAGGUGGUGCAUGGUUGUCGUCAGCUCGUGUCGUGAGAUGUUGGGUUAAGUCCCGCAACGAGCGCAACCCUUGUCUUAUGUUGCCAGCACGUUUAGGGUGGGGACUCAUGAGAGACUGCCGGGGUUAACUCGGAGGAAGGUGGGGAUGACGUCAAAUCAUCAUGCCCUUUAUGCCCAGGGCUUCACACAUGCUACAAUGGUUAGUACAACGCGCUGCGAACCUGUGAGGGUGAGCGAAUCGCUGAAAGCUAAUCUCAGUUCGGAUUGGGGUCUGCAACUCGACCCCAUGAAGUCGGAGUCGCUAGUAAUCGCAGAUCAGCAAUGCUGCGGUGAAUACGUUCCCGGGCCUUGUACACACCGCCCGUCACGUCAUGAAAGUUGGUAACACCCGAAGCCCAUGGCCUAACCACCGUUUGGUGG